UACGUAGGGUGCAAGCGUUGUCCGGAAUUAUUGGGCGUAAAGAGCUCGUAGGCGGCUUGUCGCGUCGGCUGUGAAAACCUGGGGCUCAACCCCGGGCCUGCAGCCGAUACGGGCAAGCUAGAAUUCGGUAGGGGAGACUGGAAUUCCUGGUGUAGCGGUGAAAGUGCGCAGAUAUCAGGAGGAACACCGGUGGCGAAGGCGGGUCUCUGGGCCAUAACUGACGCUGAGGAGCGAAAGCGUGGGGAGCGAACAGG
rnacentral:rRNA from 1 species